UGUUCAAAAGUAUUCUGUUUUUAAAAGCUCUUAAUUACUACAGCAAAUUUGAAAGUAACAAUAAUCUCUUGUACUGCUACUACAGGGGUCCCUUGAACUGGUAUCGUAAUAUUGAGGCCAACUGGAAAUGGAUGUGCAAAGCUGCAGGAAGAAAGAUAUAUGCACCGUCCCUAAUGAUCACAGCUGGUCGCGAUACUGUUCUCACGCCAGCAUCAAGCAAACAUAUGGAGAAAUGGAUUCCAAACUUAAAACGAGGUCAUAUCGAAGUCUGCAACCAUUGGACACAAG